rnacentral:rRNA from 1 species
GAUGAACGCUAGCUACAGGCUUAACACAUGCAAGUCGAGGGGAAACGGCAUUGAGUGCUUGCACUCUUUGGACGUCGACCGGCGCACGGGUGAGUAACGCGUAUCCAACCUUCCCAUUACUGUGGGAUAACCUGCCGAAAGGCAGACUAAUACCGCAUAGUCUUCGAUGACGGCAUCAGAUUUGAAGUAAAGAUUUAUCGGUAAUGGAUGGGGAUGCGUCUGAUUAGCUUGUUGGCGGGGUAACGGCCCACCAAGGCGACGAUCAGUAGGGGUUCUGAGAGGAAGGUCCCCCACAUUGGAACUGAGACACGGUCCAAACUCCUACGGGAGGCAGCAGUGAGGAAUAUUGGUCAAUGGGCGCGAGCCUGAACCAGCCAAGUAGCGUGCAGGAUGACGGCCCUAUGGGUUGUAAACUGCUUUUGUAUGGGGAUAAAGUCAAUCACGUGUGAUUGUUUGCAGGUACCAUACGAAUAAGGACCGGCUAAUUCCGUGCCAGCAGCCGCGGUAAUACGGAAGGUCCGGGCGUUAUCCGGAUUUAUUGGGUUUAAAGGGAGCGUAGGCCGGAGAUUAAGUGUGUUGUGAAAUGUAGACGCUCAACGUCUGACUUGCAGCGCAUACUGGUUUCCUUGAGUACGCACAACGUUGGCGGAAUUCGUCGUGUAGCGGUGAAAUGCUUAGAUAUGACGAAGAACUUCGAUUGCGAAGGCAGCUGACGGGAGCGCAACUGACGCUUAAGCUCGAAGGUGCGGGUAUCGAACAGG